GAUGAACGCUGGCGGCGUGCCUAAUACAUGCAAGUCGAGCGAACGGACGAGAGGCUUGCUUCUCUGAUGUUAGCGGCGGACGGGUGAGUAACACGUGGAUAACCUACCUAUAAGACUGGGAUAACUUCGGGAAACCGGAGCUAAUACCGGAUAAUAUUUUGAACCGCAUGGUUCAAAAGUGAAAGACGGUCUUGCUGCCACUUAUAGAUGGAUCCGCGCUGCAUUAGCUAGUUGGUAAGGUAACGGCUUACCAAGGCAACGAUGCAUAGCCGACCUGAGAGGGUGAUCGGCCACACUGGAACUGAGACACGGUCCAGACUCCUACGGGAGGCAGCAGUAGGGAAUCUUCCGCAAUGGGCGAAAGCCUGACGGAGCAACGCCGCGUGAGUGAUGAAGGUCUUCGGAUCGUAAAACUCUGUUAUUAGGGAAGAACAUAUGUGUAAGUAACUGUGCACAUCUUGACGGUACCUAAUCAGAAAGCCACGGCUAACUACGUG
rnacentral:rRNA from 1 species